rnacentral:rRNA from 1 species
CUCCUACGGGAGGCAGCAGUGGGGAAUAUUGCACAAUGGAGGAAACUCUGAUGCAGCGACGCCGCGUGAAUGAUGAAGGCCUUCGGGUCGUAAAAUUCUGUCCUUGGGGAAGAUAAUGACGGUACCCAAGGAGGAAGCCCCGGCUAACUACGUGCCAGCAGCCGCGGUAAUA